rnacentral:rRNA from 1 species
AGCUCCAAUAGCGUAUAUUAAAGUUGUUGUGGUUAAAAAGCUCGUAGUUGGAUUUCGGCGGGUAGUGGUUGGUUUUAAUUGAUUCAACACUGACUUUUUUACCCGUGUGUUUUGCCAGAAUCUUACGGGUGAUCUUUACCGAUUGUCCGUUGGAACUGGCAGGUUUACUUUGAAAAAAUUAGAGUGCUCAAAGCAAGCUUACUGCUUGAAUAGUUGCGCAUGGAAUAAUAGAAUAGGAAGUCGUUUCUAUUUUGUUGGGUUUCGGAAAUCGACUUAAUGAUUAAUAGGGAUAGUCGGGGGCAUUCGUAUUCAAACGACAGAGGUGAAAUUCUUGGACCGUUUGAAGACGAACUAAGGUUUGCCAAGAAUGUUUUCA